rnacentral:pre_miRNA from 1 species
AUGAAAGUACUUUUAUGAAAGCACUUUUACAAAAGCACUUUUAUGAAAGCACUUUUACAAAAGUGCUUUUGUAAGGGUACUUUCUUAAA